GGUUAUGGCUCAGUGGUAAAGUGCUUGCCUAGCAUGUAUGAGGUACUUGGGUUCAAUUCUCAGCACCA
rnacentral:tRNA from 1 species